rnacentral:tRNA from 1 species
UUGGGGAUGUAGCUCAGGGGUAGAGUGCUUGCCUAGCAUGCAUGAGGCCCUAGGUCCCAAUCCCUAAUACUGAAA